rnacentral:misc_RNA from 1 species
GUACUUUAUAAGUUAUAUAAAAGUAUACACAUGCACAAACUAUGAUGGGUUUUGGAAGUAGCCCCCCGAGGGAGGCGUGAGUGUGCACUCUCUGCCGUCGAGACGGCAAAAAAUCAAUGAUGAUCCUUCCGCAGGUUCACCUACGGAAA